ensembl:miRNA Mir7076 microRNA 7076
UUUCCAGGGGAGGUGGUAUGGUCUCAGCGGGGUCCGGGUUGGCUGUGACAACAUGACUACCACUGUCUCCCCAG